GCUUGCUAAGGUACUCAGCUCCCAGCAUUAAAAAAAUGCUGUUGAUAUACCAUUUUGAUUGAAAACACUUCUUUGCAAACCCUAGUCUUGGGAUAGGAGGAAAAUAACAACGGCUACGAUCACUACAACUGAUUUGCUAUGAUUCUCUCUGCUGAAAUUGAGAUAAAAUUUGCCACAUGCCACUCUGAAAUUGAUUACCUUCUCAACUCAGUCAAUAGCAAAGAACUUGGUCUCACUAAUUCAGAGUGGCUUAGGUCAUGCCUCCCGCUGACAGUGUGACGGAGAAGCCAAAAGGAGCAGCUCUAGGGAGGGGCAGAGAAGGCAGCUCUUUUAUCAGAAUCUUCCUCUUCUUCCCUUAAUGCACAAAUGGUGAAAUGAAAUGGGAGCCAAAAUAAAGUAGCUAGCCAAAAGGGUCUUCAAAGGAAAGGAACAUUAGCCCUGAGCUAACAUCUGCCGCCAAUCCUCUUUUUGCUGAGGAAGACUGGCCCUGAGCUAAUAUCCAUGCCCAUCUUCCUCUACUUUAUGUGUGGGACGCCUACCACAGCAUCGCUUGACAAGCAGUGCCACAUCUUCACCCGGAAUCUGAACCCGCAAACCCCGGGCCACUGAAGCAGAACAUGGCACUUAACCACUGCGUCACAAGGCCAGCCCCUCUUUUGCCUUCUUAGUAGAUUGAAGGAGAGUGAAGAACGUGAAACAGUAGACACAGUUAAAUGAUUAUUCACUGAUAGCAGGAGAAUCAGGCAAAUCCCACCACCUGUUUAUGGCCUCCCAACACAGACUCACUGACCAGAGAAACCAUCAGUUGCUGCUACAACAUGGCUUGAUGAGUGGUGUCGGUCUGCACCUGAGAUCCAAACUUGAGAACCGGGCCGCUGAAGCGGAGCAUGCCAGACUUAACCACUACACCACGGGGCUGACACCACAGUGUUUUUAUUACUAAAUAAAAUAUUUUUCAUUAAAU
rnacentral:lncRNA from 1 species